GACGAACGCUGGCGGCGUGCCUAAUACAUGCAAGUAGAACGCUGAAGAGAGGAGCUUACUCUUCUUGGAUGAGUUGCGAACGGGUGAGUAACGCGUAGGUAACCUGCCUUGUAGCGGGGGAUAACUAUUGGAAACGAUAGCUAAUACCGCAUAACAAUGGAUGACACAUGUCAUUUAUUUGAAAGGGGCAAUUGCUCCACUACAAGAUGGACCUGCGUUGUAUUAGCUAGUAGGUGAGGUAAUGGCUCACCUAGGCGACGAUACAUAGCCGACCUGAGAGGGUGAUCGGCCACACUGGGACUGAGACACGGCCCAGACUCCUACGGGAGGCAGCCGUAGGGAAUCUUCGGCAAUAGGGGCAACACUGACCGAGCAACGCCGCGUGAGUGAAGAAGGUUUUCGGAUCGUAAAGCUCUGUUGUAAGUCAAGAACGGGUGUGAGAGUGGAAAGUUCACACUGUGACGGUAGCUUACCAGAAAGGGACGGCUAACUACGUG
rnacentral:rRNA from 1 species